GCCUCACAUUUUCGACGCUCUCGAGUCUCGCUGGAUACUACUUGAAAACGCAAGCUCCAUAUGUCUAAUGCUAAAAUCAGCGGGCAAGGUAUUACACGGCAUGACGGUCUGAGGAAAAUGCCGAACUUGUGAUUGAUAUGGAGGAGCACGGGAAGACGUCAGAUCUACGCGAAAAUCAUAAUUCUCAAUGAGUCAGAUCGUUAAUUCCUGUUCCUGCCUGAUUGAAACAGUUAGCUUUGUCUAGCUUCGAUACAAUUGUCCCGAUGAUGUCGUAGUGAAUAACGUGCUUGACUGUCAAGCUUGGUAAGUUUGAAUUCUAACAUAUACACAUCUCGCUUCGUGCUGGACACCAGUCGUCUGUCUGAAAGAACGCCUAAUGGCGGUACGGGACAUAAAACUAGAAACAUUUAAAGAUAUUAAACACAAUUAGAAUACGAUAAGGGACUCGUAUAGUUGGCCGCCCUCAAGACUAUCUUUUUGGCUGAAGUUUCUGUACGAAGAUACGUAGAGAAAUUCAAAUCGGGAAAAUUAUAGGGCACAAUGGGAGCGCUUGGCCCUGAUUUACUUGUAAGGCUGAACGUCUUUUACCUCUGUUAGGCGUUCCGGAGAAAGAGUUAAGUCAUAUAUGUAGGUUAUGCACAGAAGGGUGUAUUUACUGCUAUUGUUGCUAUUAUGUAAAAACGUAUGUCGUAGUUUUAGCCGAAGUUUGAUCACUUCCUCACCGCCGAAGAUUUGUCUAGUAGUUGUGUACGUUAAAAAUAACCAUCCCGCGUCGAAAUAAAAAGAUCCUGUAGUUAAAAAUAGUGCUCACAACUGUAUGUAAUUCUUAGCUUGCCUCAGCUGUGAGUACCGCUGCAAACAAUGCAAAUUUGUUACUUUCCUAUUCAACCUAUUAAUGGGUGGCUAGGGAGAGGUAGCGCUUGGACGCGAAUAACUGUCAUUCUCGCCAGAUAAAACAGAAACGUGGUUCCCUUUAUCUGAAUUUCAAGCAUGACC